GACGAACGCUGGCGGCGUGCCUAAUACAUGCAAGUAGAACGCUGAAGAGAGGAGCUUGCUCUUCUUGGAUGAGUUGCGAACGGGUGAGUAACGCGUAGGUAACCUGCCUUGUAGCGGGGGAUAACUAUUGGAAACGAUAGCUAAUACCGCAUAACAAUGGAUGACACAUGUCAUUUAUUUGAAAGGGGCAAUUGCUCCACUACAAGAUGGACCUGCGUUGUAUUAGCUAGUAGGUGAGGUAAAGGCUCACCUAGGCGACGAUACAUAGCCGACCUGAGAGGGUGAUCGGCCACACUGGGACUGAGACACGGCCCAGACUCCUACGGGAGGCAGCAGUAGGGAAUCUUCGGCAAUGGGGGCAACCCUGACCGAGCAACGCCGCGUGAGUGAAGAAGGUUUUCGGAUCGUAAAGCUCUGUUGUAAGUCAAGAACGGGUGUGAGAGUGGAAAGUUCACACUGUGACGGUAGCUUACCAGAAAGGGACGGCUAACUACGUG
rnacentral:rRNA from 1 species